GUCCCCUUUGUGUUGUUCUCCGGUUUCCUCUCUUCUUUCUUUUCCUUUGUUUCUCUCUUCUGGUUUUUUCUCUGUUUUCCCAAGUUCGUCUUCUCUUUCCCUGUUUUCGUUCGUGUUCUCUGUUUUUCUUUGUGUUAUUCUCUGCUCCUUUUCUUUUCCUCCUUUUCUUUUCUGUUUCGGUUCAUCCUCUCUGACUCUCCGUUUUUUCUCUGGUGCUCGCCCCUUUGUGGCCUUCUCUAGCUUUUAUAAAGCCAGAGGACGACCUCUGUUCAUGUGUUUGUGCCUCACGAUCGUGAGGCACGAACGCCUUUGUUUCUUUGAGAAGAAACAGGGGAAUAAGAGUCUGCUAUUCUGGUUCGUCUUUUUACGUUUGUUUCCUCACCCUGCCGGUUCUCCUCCGGUUUUUAUUUUCUCUGGUUUGUGUUUUCGGUCAACUCUCUAUCGGUCCCCCUGUUCCCUGUUCUUCUCUGGCUUUUUAUAGGGCUAGAGAGCUUGCAAAACAAACCAAUCCCCUUUACAGUCC
rnacentral:lncRNA from 1 species